CUGUUCGCCAUUUAAAGUGGUACGCGAGCUGGGUUUAGAACGUCGUGAGACAGUUCGGUCCCUAUCUGCCGUGGGCGCUGGAGAACUGAGGGGGGCUGCUCCUAGUACGAGAGGACCGGAGUGGACGCAUCACUGGUGUUCGGGUUGUCAUGCCAAUGGCACUGCCCGGUAGCUAAAUGCGGAAGAGAUAAGUGCUGAAAGCAUCUAAGCACGAAACUUGCCCCGAGAUGAGUUCUCCCUGAGACUUUAGGUCUCCUGAAGGAACGUUGAAGACGACGACGUUGAUAGGCCGGGUGUGUAAGCGCAGCGAUGCGUUGAGCUAACCGGUACUAAUGAACCGUGAGGCUUAACCUUACAACGCCGAAGAUGUUUUG
rnacentral:rRNA from 1 species